CAAGAUUUAAUCUGUGUUCGACAAAAACCUUCCUCGCCUAUUCCCCCUGCUGAGGUGAGAAGGCAUUUGGAAGAUCUUGGAGAUUAUCUAUUUUCAGACAGAAAAAGUCCUCCCCUUCUACUGAGGAAUAUAUACAAGAGAUGGAAGACAAGUUCCCGAGGUUUUCAAUCGCGUUAUGCAGCGCAAGGACGGCCUCACCAUCAUUUGUACAAAAAGAGGAGGAGAUGUGUUCACUAACAGUCUUUCCAAUGGGCUCCAGACAGUGACUGCUAGACCUGAAGCGAUUCUAUUCAGAUUUGCACCGAUCACAUCUCUUCUUACUGGGAUUCCUGGAAGUGGUUAUCUUAGUCAUGCAGUCAACUUGUAUCGGCGUUGUAAGUGCUCCUAUGAAGAGGAUGCCAUAGCUAACUUGUGUCUACUGCAUUGUUUUUCAUGUGUCGGGAAUGCAUCCGACAUUCAGCAAAUGCAUGGUGGGUGAAAUUAAUGCGAAACUCCAUAAAACUUAAAAUGACCGAAACCUCAAAUCCGUAAAGAUGAGAUGUAGAUUAUCUAGGUCCUGGCCUUUGAGUUGUUUUCCUGGUAAUUAAAAGAAACUGGAGCUUUCUUUUUGUACUGGUCCUGUGUUUGCUAUUAUUUUCCAAUGGCAGAGGGCAGAGGACAAACCAUGAACUUACCUUUCUUUGUAUUUUUGUGGUGAUUCAUUGGGAUGUCAAAUAGGAUUUAGCUACAUAGCAUCACCCUCCCCUUUCCAGAAGCCUCUUCUCAUCUUUGGUGUGAGCGGGAUUCAAACCAAGGUCACUCUGUGCUACACAGGUGACACGAGUGACAUACCAGCAAAACCAGCCAAUACCCUCUAAAAUGCUAAGAUGGUCACUGAUGGCGGGAAGAUUGGUUUGCAGGUGAAGUUUUGCUUUGUUAGACCAUGGAUUUCACUGUGCAUAGAGCGGAUUAAUGCCUGAUUUAGUUAUUUUCUCAAUUUACAAAAUCCUUUCCUGACAGAUUGUUUUAUGUGAGGGAAAGUAAUGCCAUAGUUUGUACAGAGAAAUACAUACAAAAGGAUUUAUUUGCAACUAA